UACGGUGGGGUGCAAACGUUGCUCGGAAUUAUUGGGCGUAAAGCGCACGUAGGCGGCUCUCUAAGUCGCAUGUGAAAGCCCCAGGCUUAACCUGGGAAGUGCAUGCGAUACUGGAAAGCUUGAGUACUAGAGGGGGUCGGCGGAAUUCCCGGUGUAGAGGUGAAAUUCGUAGAUAUCGGGAGGAACACCAGCGGCGAAGGCGGCGACCUGGAUAGAUACUGACGCUGAGGUGCGAAAGCGUGGGGAGCAAACAGG
rnacentral:rRNA from 1 species